AGGGAGGGAGAGAUAGAAACAGCAUUGAUUCAGAGAGAGUCAUCCAUCAUGCCCUCUCCUGGGGAUGGAGCCCACAACCAGGCAUGUGCCCUCCAGCCAUCGGGGCAAUGAACUUGAAGCAGUGUCAAGCCCAUUCCUGAGCUUUCUCACACCCGCCAGCCCCCCCUGCCAUCGGGCUCCCCGCAUGAUCUAGAGGGGGGUUGGCUCCAUCAACCCAGUGUCCGUCCCAGCUCUGCACCAUUUGCUUGUGUGGCUCCUGCCAGUCACAGUCUGCUCUACGCCUCGUGUCUGUGAGGUGUGGCUGGCUCUGUAGGCAAGUGCACAAGGGCAGGGAAUCUGGAAUCAAAUUGACUGGGUUCAAAACUUGCUUCUGUCACCACCUGUGCAAUGUAGGCAAAAUUCUUAAAGUCUCCCAGCCUCUCGUGUCCCACCUGUAAAAUGGGAGAAUAAAAACACUAACUUAGAGUUUGUGGGAGAAUGAAAUGGCAUAAGGCGUAAGCAUUUAACACUGUGCUGAGUGCAAAAUAAGCCCUCAAUCGGCUACCGGUAUGUCUUUGCACUUGACCUCUUUAUUGCUCUACACUGAGGCAGAAUGAAGCCAGCUAACGCCAUCUGAGGAACUUUCCGUCUCCUCUGGGUCACACUUCAUGGCCAUUGUUGCUCAAUAGUACAAUUACAGAACCGCUCGCCCGGCUGGCGUGGCUCAGUGCUUGAGCAUUGACCUAUGACUCAGAAGGUCAUGGUUCAAUUCCUAGUCAGGGCAUGUGCCCAAAUUGCAGGCUUGAUCUCUAGUGUGGGGCAUGCAGGAGGCAGCCUAUCAAUGAUUCUUGUUUAUCAUUGAUGUUUCUAUCUCCCUCUCUGUCGCCCUUCCUCUCUGAAGUCAAUAUGUUACAGAAAACCGGAGAAGAACCAAGCAACGCUUAGAGAGAUGGAGUUACAUUUAUUAUUAUUACACGCACGGCCCAGAGGAAAAUGUCUCUCAAAUUCUGGGCCCCAUCACACACUGUGCGACCUUGGGCCAGUCACUCAGCCUCUCUGAGCUGCAGUUUCCUCACCUGGAAGUGGUAACAUUCACAGUCUGGUCGCAGGGCUAUUGCGAGGCACACCCGAGAUCUGUCGCUGACAUUGGUGUGCAGCCUGUCCGAUGCCGGACACAGGUAAUGAAGGGAAAGUGGAGCCUCUUGAAUCUUAACUGAAGGAUCCUAGAAUCUACCAUUAUGCCCCUGGAUCUACUGGGAAAGGGGGAAAUGAAAUUCUUUGAAGGCCACUGGCUUUACAGGAGAAAGGAAGCCCCACAGAGCAGAAGGGAGGCGUGGUGUGGGCAAAGGUCAAAGCCCCAAAGGCAGCGCCUCGUGCACCACAGGGCACAGGGGGCCCCGAGCCUGGCGUGAAAAGAGGGCCUCCAUCGCUUCUCCCAGGCUGUGUGGCCUGGGGAAAGUCCCACGGCCUCUCUGAUCCUCAGUUUCUUGAUCCGUGAAAUGAAAACGGUAAUACCCACCCUGUUUACUGCGUUGUCAAAGGAACCACAUGAAGUUUGUGAACAACCAAACAAUGUCACGUAACGAGUAGAAUAUGAUUAUGUCAGUGACGUGCUCAAAACGUUGGUUACUCUGGAAAGUUAGUUUGCAGUAGGAAAUUCAGAAUGAAAGAAAGUAUAAAGGCCAUCGGAGAUUUAAAAAUAGAUUGAUGAGAUCAUGAUAAUAGCAGAAGGGCACUUUUGAGGGGAGGGUGCCAAGAAACAGAGAGAAGAGCUGGGACCUCAACAAGUGGGACCUCAACAAGGAUCCUGGAUUUGAUUCCGGUCAAGGGCACCUUGGCUCGGGGUGGGGGGAGCCGUCAGGCCCCCGGGGAGGAAGCUGGGGUUUGCUCACUGAUGUGCUGAGUAAUGGGGUUGGGGAACAGUCCAUGAUGUGAAUGUUUUCUGUGAGUCAUUGUACCAUCCAUACUGAAGGUCACAUGCAAAAGCCAGAGCCAGGAACAGGCAUGCCAGCCGAGGCUAGGACUGUGUCCAAGAACCCAUGGAGAAGAUGCGCUGGCCCAGGAGGGUGGUGAAAUGAGUUGGACACUCCAGGCAAGUUCAGAGAAAGCCCAGCAAGAGGCCAUGGAGGAGGUCAGAAGGAACACUCGGCUGUCUGGGCAGAGGAGACUGCCAGCAAGCGUAAGGGCCCGCCCCGAGGAUGGGGUGGGAGGCCAAAAAGGGCAAGAAGUUUGGAAGGAACUGAAAUCCAUGGCAGGGCGGUGAGGAUGCUACUCAGGAUGCUACUCAGCCCUGAAGGGAGCCUGCCAGGCCCCUGGCAUAGGGUCAGAGCUGCAGGGCAAAGGGAGUAUUGAUUCCCAGGAGUGAGACACCUGGAUUGUGUCUUGGUCCUGCUCCCCCAGGGAGCAGUUAGGGACCACAGGCUCCUUGGGACCUGGAGCUAUGUCUCAUUCCUCUCUGUAGCCUUACUGCCCCGCACAGAGCCUGGUGUUCAGAGGGCACUCAGUCAGUGUACCUUGGAAUGAACCAACAAAUGGAUGGCAAAUGAAUACGGCCACGUUUAAAAUACCAACAUGUUUUGAACUUUCUCUUUUUGGUGACUCUUGGCAGACUUUGGCCUUCUUUCUAGUGCCAGAUAGCUAGUGUGGACAGCACCCCACUGUCCCUCCUGAGACCCCCUGGCCAUUGACCACGUCUCGGGUCUCCGUCCCUUCUCUUUCUAUUGUGUAUGUUCUCGAGAUGACUGUGCUCCAUUUAGUGGCUUGUUUCCAUGACAACUUGUUCCUUCAUACCGUCUAGUUCCCAGGCAUUACCUACUGUAUCUUAUUCAGUUCCCAGCCUUGCUUACAUCCUGUCCUGAUGCAGAAUGUCUUCCAUUAAGGGAACAUCAUCUUCUCAGAAAUUAACUUUAAAAAUGGCAUUAAACAGAUUAUGGCAUGUUGGGUGUGUUUUUUCAACUAGAAGUAAAAAAUUUCUCCACCACUUCCUUGCCAAGAAACACAUUUCCUUGUCGGCUGUUUUCAUCGACUCUUUUCAAAACUUUUUGUCUCCACACGUAUUGAAAGCCAGCCUUUAGGAGAAGCAUUUGGCUCCCAACAUAAUUUGGCUCUCAAACUUUCACCCACUCCCCUGGACUCCACCCCCUGCUGGCCACUGCCACGAUCACAGUGCCGCAGUCUCACCUUCCAUACUGAAGAUCUGAACCAUCUCCAAAAAGAGUUGUGACACAUGACUCACUUCUAUUUUACUGUCAGUUUUGUUAGUCUGGUCCAAAUGUGCUUUUAGGGCUCCCAACGUGGUUUUCAUCACGUUACUGAAGAAGGAUCCAUCUGACCCAUCCCUGGAACUCAUCUUGCUCCACUCCUUGGGUGCGUCUUGACCACGGUCUCUUCCUCAGCAAUAAAACUUGUGAGACUUUUAGGAAAGUACUCAGAAAGGGCCAACGAAUGCCGGUUGAGGGUCAUCUCAUCUUUCUUCUCAAGAUGGACAUUCACAUCAGCUGCCAGAACUCUCUACCACGCCCCUUGCGGCCAGCUGUGGAUAGGCUUGUCCUUGGUCCAUCAACCAGACCUGUCCAUCACUUGAGGCCGUUCACCACCGACCACCCCUGCCUUCCAGUGAAGCAUCACAUUGGUCCAGGCAUUUGGUUUCUCUCACUUAUAAGGCCUCUCAUGACUCAAUUCAGUGUACUGCGGAGGUGUCCUGGCUAGAUCCGUCCCUCAGUGCUCAGAGAGCUUCUACACAGCGACCAUUUAUUGUGGCUGAGGUGUAACGCCAAGUUCCUUAGAAUAGCUUCCCUCUGACUGUGCAUCAUAAAUCCAAUUUUGAUUUCUCCUGCCCUUUUCAUGCCUGCAUUUAGAGCCAACAUGCACCGAAGGAUAUGGAAAGCUCAUCCUAUCUGUGCAGCUAUACCAUGACUAAAAAAUAUUUUCUAAAGAGUUAGUCUGCCCCUAGCCGGUUUGGCUCAGAGGAUAGAGAAUCGGCCUGCAGGUCAAAGGGUCCUGGGUUUCAUUCCGGUCAAGGGCAGGUACCUUGGCUGCAGGCUCCUCGCCACACCGGGCCUUGGUCAGAGCUCAUGCAGGAGGCAACCGUUCGAUGUGUUUCUCUCACAUCAAAGUUUCUCUCUGUCUUUCCCUCUCUCUCCCACUCUCCCUAAUAAACCAAUGGAAAAAUAUUCUUGGGUGAGGAUUAACCAAAAAAAAAAAAGAGCUAGUCUGCAUACUGUACAUGGGGGAAUUCGUGUGGGGGAAAGUCUUUGCUGGCCGUUCACUAUACUGGAUUGAAUUGUUUCCCUCCAAAAUUAUGUUCAAGCCCUAGUCCUCAGUACCAGCAAAGGUGAUCUUAUUUGGAAAGAGGGUCUUUGCAAGUGUAAUUAAGUUAAGAUGAGGUCCUACUGGAUUGGAGUGGGCCUAAUCCAAUCACUGCUGUUCUUACAUGAAGAGAGAAUAUUGACACAGGAGAACGGAGCCUGGCAUGUGAGGACGAAGGCAGAAGUUGGAGUUAUGUUGCCAGAAGACACAGAAAGCAAAGGCUCGCCAGCCAGCACCAGGAGGGAGAAGAGACAAGGAAGGGUUCUGCCCUAGAGACUUUGGAAGGAGCCCAGCCCUCCUGACACCUUGAAUGCCGCUUCUAACCUUGACAGCCAAAGAACUUGGAGGCCCUGAGAGGAGAAGCCAUGUAACCACCGUUCCAGGGCUAGCAAAGGGCAGCGCCAAACUCAGAAUCCUGUGCUCCUUCCAAAUGAGAAAUCAAGAACUGGAAAAGUGGGAGGGCUUAGAUCUAAGGAGGUAGGUUUUGUAGAACCUCACUCCAUAGCUGGGAACACACACGUUUCCCAAAGGAGGAUGUAUGGGGAUCAGGAUUCAACCUCUACUCUAGUUUUCAAAAUUAAUAUUUGAAUUCAUUCUGAACAUUUAAAGAUUGGGCACGUUCCUAUAAACACCUAGGUGCCUGGCUAUUUCAGGAAAAGUGAGCUGAUCUGUGAGAAAGUGAAUAAAAGCUGCCCCCAUUUCACGUUCAGGCUGGGCAGCCCCACCUAUGUGGCCAGCUGCACAAUUUAUAUGACCUACACGCCCCCGUGGGCCCUGGAGUUUGCAACCCCGGGGAGCGGGGAAGAAGGGUAGAGGCCCUGAGCCUGGGGGUGAGAGUUGUAAUGUCAGGGGGUGAAGAAGCCAAUCAAGGAACCACGAGACAAGCAGGGCCGGGGAGCCCAGGACAGAGUUUCCAUCUGU